rnacentral:rRNA from 1 species
GAUGAACGCUGGCGGCGUGCCUAAUACAUGCAAGUCGAGCGGACGGACGAGAAUCUUUCUUCUCUUAUGUUAGCGACGGACGGGUGAGGAAUACGUGGAUACCCGACCGAGAGGACUGGGGUAAGGUCGGGAAACCGGAUCUAAUACCGGAUAAGAGUGUGAACCGCAGGGUUCAUAGGUGAAAGACGUUCUUGCUGUCACUUAUUGAUGUUUCCGCGCUGGAUUAGCUAGUUGGUAAGGUAACGGCGUACCAAGGCAACGAUGCAUAGCCGACCUGAGAGGGUGAUCAGCCACACUGGAACUGAGACACGGUCCAGACUCCUACGGGAGGCAGCAGUAGGGAAUAUUCCGCAAUGGGCGAAAGCCUGACGGAGCCACGCCGCGUGAGUGAUGAAGGUCUUCGGAUCGUAAAACACUUUUAUUAGGGAAGAACAUAUGUGUAAGAAAAUGUGCACAUCUUGACGGUACCUACACAGAAAGCACCGGCUAACUACGUG